rnacentral:lncRNA from 1 species
AUGGACAGACCCACUUUUUCCGGAAUGAAGGGCACCCCCCACGUCACGGCAGCUCCGCAGAUGCGGCCGUCACCCACGGCGGUCCUGGCCAGGGUGCCGGGGGCCUCGAGGCCGCCCCAGGCCGGCCAGCCACCCUCUGGGCCUCCUGCCUGUGCCUUCCUGCCACCUCCACUGAGGUCCCUGAGGGGACAUCCUGCCGCAGAGGGACCCGGGGAGCCCAGGGCCCCCGGGAGGCUGCUCUGUCCCCGCUUAGCCCCUGGGACGGGGGUUCCCGGCCAAACUCCGGCGUCCGAAUCCUGGACACUCGGGGUGAGGCCGUGCCUCUUGGGGGAGUCUUGGUCGGAGGUCAGGCUCAAGGUCUGGGGAGGGAGCAGGGCCCCUCUGGGCGCCCCCAGCCCGAGCCCCCAGCCCGACGUGCCAUGCCCCCCACGCUGUCUCUGGGCGUGGCCAGGGGAUGCUGGAGCCCGGGAAGGGAGAGCCCCGGGGUACCCCCCCGCCCCGCCCAGGAGGGGUCUCGGACCCCCGCCCUGUCUCCUGCAGCCGGUGGCGUCUGCGAGCCGCCCCUUGCACAAGGCGGGGCCUCAUGAGCCGCUUCUAGCCCUGAGUUCCGACUCCCACUGGGCCCUCCUUCCUCCUGGUGCUAAUUUGGGGACCCUGGGGGGCUGCCCAGGACCUGCUGGGACCAGGGUGCUGGGUCCCUCCAACCGUACCCCAGAGAUCAGGCCACUGCCAGCUCCACUGGGCUUGGCACGUUUCUGGCAGCGGCGGGGCGCACGCAGCCCGGGCCGGGGGCUUCCUCUGCGGGAGACCCCAUCCGCCGCCCCGCCCGACGUGAGCCUGUCCCCCGCCGGGAGGGAGAGGGGUGCGGGUCCCACUCCUGGGGGCGGCCACCACCCGGAUGUGCACGCAUGGCUCCCUGGACGCAGCCACUCGCCCCCAGAGGCACACGUGUGCACACGCUCCCACACCCUCCGGGGCCUCCCGCCCGGUGCCGGGGCAGGUGCAGGGGCCAGCGCUGCCACAGCCUGGGUCCCGACUCCGCUCUGCCCCUCGGUGGCAGGGGGAGAGGCCGUGUCUGAGGUGACCCUGGGCCGUGGCCGUGGGACCCCCUCUUCCUCCUCGAGUCCUCGAGCUGUGAGGCUCCGCUCAAGUGCCCCUCUGCUUCUGACGUGUGACAAGGCCCUUAUGUUCUCGACUUUCCCAGAGAAGCAAAUAAACAGUGUGAACAGCCCCAGGCCCUGGCGUCCUUGGCUUUCACCUGGGGGGGGGGGCACCAGGGCGGGGGGGCUGUCGGAGGAGGCCGGGGGGAGCCCGUGGGUCCACAGCCCCGCAUUCUGGGGCUCCCCCCGGCCGAGGGUGGGUGUCCGUGCAGCCCCCACCUGUGCCCGCCUGACGGCACCUGGGGACAAGGCACAGCUGGUGGGGGCAGGACCUGCCCUCCCGCCCGCCCUUGGGCCGCGAGGCUGCCCCCUGCUGGACCCACAGCCCCAGAGACCCACCCCCACCCCCAGCAGGUGCACAGUGGCUGCCACCUGCCCCCGCGGGGCCUCAGCUCUCCUGUCUAUACCGCAGGCCUUAUGA